rnacentral:rRNA from 1 species
AGUGAACGCUGGCGGUAGGCCUAACACAUGCAAGUCGAACGGCAGCACAGUAAGAGCUUGCUCUUACGGGUGGCGAGUGGCGGACGGGUGAGGAAUACAUCGGAAUCUACUUUUUCGUGGGGGAUAACGUAGGGAAACUUACGCUAAUACCGCAUACGACCUACGGGUGAAAGCAGGGGAUCUUCGGACCUUGCGCGAUUGAAUGAGCCGAUGUCGGAUUAGCUAGUUGGCGGGGUAAAGGCCCACCAAGGCGACGAUCCGUAGCUGGUCUGAGAGGAUGAUCAGCCACACUGGAACUGAGACACGGUCCAGACUCCUACGGGAGGCAGCAGUGGGGAAUAUUGGACAAUGGGCGCAUGCCUGAUCCAGCCAUACCGCGUGGGUGAAGAAGGCCUUCGGGUUGUAAAGCCCUUUUGUUGGGAAAGAAAAGCGGCAGGUUAAUACCCCGCUGUUCUGACGGUACCCAAAGAAUAAGCACCGGCUAACUUCGUG